ACAUGAUGGAUAGCAGAUCAGGACUGCUUAUUUUUGCCCUCUGUUUUAUGGGUGUUGAAGGACAGACUCUGAAAGAAUCUGAAGCAGUGGUUAAAAAACCCGGAGAGUCCCAUAUGCUGACCUGUACGGCCUCGGGAUUCACAUUCAGUAACUACUGGAUGGCCUGGAUCAGACAGGCUCCUGGGAAAAGACUGGAGUGGUUAGCUAGCAUGUAUGACAGUUCCAAUAUCUUUCACUCUCAGUCAGUCCAAGGGCGCUUCAUCAUCUCCAGAGACAACAGCAAACAGCAGGUGUAUCUGCAGAUGAACAGUCUGAAAACAGAAGAUUCUGCUGUUUAUUACUGUGCUCGAGAGACACAGUGACUGAAGUCGGUUCAGCAGCUGUACAAAAACCUGAA